UACGUAGGUGGCAAGCGUUGUCCGGAUUUACUGGGCGUAAAGAGCGCGCAGGCGGUCGUUCAAGUCGCGUGUGAAAACCCCCGGCUCAACUGGGGAGGGUCACGCGAUACUGAUCGACUCGAAGGCAGGAGAGGGUAGUGGAAUUCCCGGUGUAGUGGUGAAAUGCGUAGAUAUCGGGAGGAACACCAGUGGCGAAGGCGACUACCUGGCCUGUUCUUGACGCUGAGGCGCGAAAGCUAGGGGAGCAAACGGG
rnacentral:rRNA from 1 species